rnacentral:misc_RNA from 1 species
GAUGGAAUUUUGGACACUGGCAGUGUGACCACUUGAAUAGUAAAUUUUACAUUGUCAUAACUCACCCUAGAAAACUCCAAAUUAGGUGAUUAUUGAACCGAUGGAAACUUAAAACAUAGUAGAACAUCUCAUAUGAAGAAUGUAAAGCCAAAUUAUGAACUUAACUCAACCAAAUUGCUGGGCAAAGUUAGGUCAAUAAAUUUGCUAGAAUCUAUCCAUGUGAACAAUAACUAUUGAUUUAAUCAUAACUU